rnacentral:rRNA from 1 species
GAUGAACGCUGGCGGCGUGCCUAAUACAUGCAAGUCGAGCGAACAGACGAGGAGCUUGCUCCUCUGACGUUAGCGGCGGACGGGUGAGUAACACGUGGAUAACCUACCUAUAAGACUGGGAUAACUUCGGGAAACCGGAGCUAAUACCGGAUAAUAUAUUGAACCGCAUGGUUCAAUAGUGAAAGACGGUUUUGCUGUCACUUAUAGAUGGAUCCGCGCCGCAUUAGCUAGUUGGUAAGGUAACGGCUUACCAAGGCAACGAUGCGUAGCCGGCCUGAGAGGGUGAUCGGCCACACUGGAACUGAGACACGGUCCAGACUCCUACGGGAGGCAGCAGUAGGGAAUCUUCCGCAAUGGGCGAAAGCCUGACGGAGCAACGCCGCGUGAGUGAUGAAGGUCCUCGGAUCGUAAAACUCUGUUAUUAGGGAAGAACAAAUGUGUAAGUAACUAUGCACGUCUUGACGGUACCUAAUCAGAAAGCCACGGCUAACUACGUG